rnacentral:rRNA from 1 species
UACAGGGGGGCCAAGCGUUGUCCGGAAUUACUGGGCGUACAGCGCGCGCAGGCGGUCCACUACGUGCCGUGUGACAAACGUCGGCUUAACCGACGGAGGCCAGGGUACACGGGUGAACUUGAGGCAGAGAGAGGGAUGUGGAAUACCCGGUGGAGCGGUGAAAUGCGUAGAGAUCGGGUGGAACACCAGGGGCGAAGGCGGGUCUCUGGACAGUUCCUGACACUGAGGCACGAAGGCCAGGGGAGCAAACGGG